rnacentral:rRNA from 1 species
GCCUCAGUAACGGCGAGUGAAGCGGCAACAGCUCAAAUUUGAAAUCUGGAGCCUUCGGCUUCCGAGUUGUAAUUUGAAGAGGAUGUUUCGGUUGCGACCUGGGCCUAAGUUCCUUGGAACAGGACGUCAUGGAGGGUGAGAAUCCCGUACAUGGCUGCAGGUUUGCUUCCAUGUGAAACUCCUUCGAAGAGUCGAGUUGUUUGGGAAUGCAGCUCAAAAUGGGUGGUAAAUUUCAUCUAAAGCUAAAUAUUGGGGGGAGACCGAUAGCGCACAAGUAGAGUGAUCGAAAGAUGAAAAGCACUUUGAAAAGAGAGUUAAACAGUACGUGAAAUUGUUGAAAGGGAACCGCUUGCAAUCAGACUCGCCUUCAGUUGAUCAGCCUUCCUUCUGGUUGGUGCACUCUGCUGUUGGCGGGCCAGCAUCAGUUGGGACGGUGGGACAAAGGUAGCAGGAAUGUGGCUCGCUUCUUGCGAGUGUUAUAGCCUGCUGCGCCAUGCCACCAGCUCCGACUGAGGUCCGCGGCUCUGCCUAGGAUGCUGGCUUAAUGGUUGUAAG